UACAGAGGGUGCGAGCGUUAAUCGGAAUUACUGGGCGUAAAGCGCGCGUAGACGGCUUCGUAAGUCGGAUGUGAAAUCCCCGGGCUCAACCUGGGAACUGCAUUCGAAACUGCAUUGCUAGAGUAUGGAAGAGGGAAGUGGAAUUUCCGGUGUAGCGGUGAAAUGCGUAGAGAUCGGGAGGAAGGCCGGUGGCGAAGGCGGCGCUCUGGAACGUUUCUGACGCUGAGGCUCGAAAGCGUGGGGAGCAAACAGG
rnacentral:rRNA from 1 species